rnacentral:rRNA from 1 species
AACGAACGCUGGCGGCAGGCCUAACACAUGCAAGUCGAGCGCCCCGCAAGGGGAGCGGCGGACGGGUGAGUAACGCGUGGGAAUAUGCCCUUUGCUACGGAAUAGUCUCGGGAAACUGGGGGUAGUACCGUAUACGCCCUUUGGGGGAAAGAUUUAUCGGCGAAGGAUUAGCCCGCGUUGGAUUAGGUAGUUGGUGGGGUAAUGGCCUACCAAGCCGACGAUCCAUAGCUGGUUUGAGAGGAUGAUCAGCCACACUAGGACUGAGACACGGCCCAGACUCCUACGGGAGGCAGCAGUGGGGAAUCUUAGACAAUGGGGGCAACCCUGAUCUAGCCAUGCCGCGUGAGUGAUGAAGGCCUUAGGGUUGUAAAGCUCUUUCAGCUGGGAAGAUAAUGACGGUACCAGCAGAAGAAGCCCCGGCUAACUCCGUG